AUUGAACGCUGGCGGCAGGCUAACACAUGCAAGUCGAGCGGCAGCGACUUAACUGAACCUUCGGGGAACGUUAAGGGCGGCGAGCGGCGGACGGGUGAGUAAUGCCUGGGAAUAUGCCUUGAUGUGGGGGAUAACUAUUGGAAACGAUAGCUAAUACCGCAUAAUCUCUUCGGAGCAAAGAGGGGGACCUUCGGGCCUCUCGCGUCAGGAUUAGCCCAGGUGGGAUUAGCUUGUUGGUGAGGUAAUGGCUCACCAAGGCAACGAUCCCUAGCUGGUCUGAGAGGAUGAUCAGCCACACUGGAACUGAGACACGGUCCAGACUCCUACGGGAGGCAGCAGUGGGGAAUAUUGCACAAUGGGGGAAACCCUGAUGCAGCCAUGCCGCGUGUGUGAAGAAGGCCUUCGGGUUGUAAAGCACUUUCAGUAGGGAGGAAGGUAGUGUAGUUAACACCUGCAUUAUUUGACAUUACCUACAGAAGAAGCACCGGCUAACUCCGUGCCAGCAGCCGCGGUAAUACGGAGGGUGCGAGCGUUAAUCGGAAUUACUGGGCGUAAAGCGCAUGCAGGCGGCCUGUUAAGUCAGAUGUGAAAGCCCGGGGCUUAACCUCGGAAUUGCAUUUGAAACUGGCAGGCUAGAGUCUUGUAGAGGGGGGUAGAAUUUCAGGUGUAGCGGUGAAAUGCGUAGAGAUCUGAAGGAAUACCAGUGGCGAAGGCGGCCCCCUGGACAAAGACUGACGCUCAGAUGCGAAAGCGUGGGGAGCAAACAGG
rnacentral:rRNA from 1 species